UACGAAAGGGGCUAGCGUUGCUCGGAAUUACUGGGCGUAAAGCGCACGUAGGCGGCUUUCUAAGUCGGGGGUGAAAUCCUGGAGCUCAACUCCAGAACUGCCUUCGAUACUGGAGAGCUUGAGUCCGGGAGAGGUGAGUGGAACUGCGAGUGUAGAGGUGAAAUUCGUAGAUAUUCGCAAGAACACCAGUGGCGAAGGCGGCUCACUGGCCCGGUACUGACGCUGAGGUGCGAAAGCGUGGGGAGCAAACAGG
rnacentral:rRNA from 1 species